UCUCAGAUGGUGGGAGCGGAACUAUGCAGUGUUGGGUUCCCAUAGCAAUGACCCUGUCUCCACGGCACGCCCUUGACAUCAUAACUCAGCUACGUGGAAGUGAGCAGAGAGGACAGAGUGGGCGGAUGCGCCGUGGAAUAGGAAGGAAUAUGGCGACAUAUGUAUUUCCGCCCGUUUACGCUGGUGGAAUUAUAGUGAUGAGAUAAUAAUUUGUGAAAACCUCCUCGAGACUUUCUAAAAUGGCGGCCGCGGGACUUCCGGCUAUGGCGCACCACGUGAUCGGAUAUACUUUGAGACGAGAUAGAACUACACUAACACGGACGGUCCCGAUCACGUGACGAAACGGUCACGUGAUGUGAUGUGACGUGAAUGCGGAAGGAUAGGAUACCGUCUUCCUGCGGUGUGGAACUUAUGUUAGAGUAUAGACGGAAGUUGUUCCUGGUUGCACAGGGCACUUCCGGUCAUCGCAAAUUUAUAUUUAAUGUUUAUAACUCGUUUUAUGUGGACUUUUUAAUACUUCUUAUGAAAUAAAGAGAUAUUGCAUUAUU